AAUGGAGAGACAGGCUGGGCAUGGUGGCUCAUGCCUGUAAUCCCAGCACUUUGCAUGGCCAGUGUGGAAGUAUUGCUUGAGGCCAGGAGCUCAAGACCAGCCUGGGAAACAUAGGGAGAUCCUGUCUCAGGAAUAGAUAAAAUAAAAUAUAUAAAUGGAGAAACAUGCCAACAUGGUUUUUGUGAAUAUUACAUACGAUAAUACAGGAGUCCACACUUUUAGUUCCAACAUAUGAGUGAGAAAAUGCAAUAUUUGUCUUUCUAUGCUUGAAUUACUUCACUUAACAUGAUGUCCUCCAGUUCCAUCCAUGUUGCUGCAAAUGAAAGGAUUUCAUUCUUUUUUAUGGCUGAAGAGGAUUGUAUCAAGCUGAAAAACUUAUGUACAGCAAAGGAAACAAUAAGUGAAGAGACAGCCUACAGAAUGGAAGAAAAUAUUUGCAAACUCUUCAUCUGGCAAGGGAUUAAUUACCAGAAUUUACAAGGAGCUCAAACACCUCAAUAGCAAAAACUCAAAAACAAGAACAAAACAAAAUGAACAAAAACUGAAACAAGCCCAAUUUUAAAAUGGGCAAAAGAUUUGAGUAGACAUUUCUCAAAAGAAGACCUAGAAAUGUCCAAGAAGUAUAUGAAACAAUGCUCGACAUUAGUAAUCAGUGGUGUUGGGCAUUGUUGAGCAUCAGGGAAAUGCAAAUCAAAACCACAAUGAGAUAUCAUCUCACCCCAGUUAGAAUGGCUAUUAUAAAAAAAGACCAAAAAUAACAAAUGUUAACAUGGAUAUGGAGAAAGGGGAAUGCUUAUAUACUGUUGGUGAGAAUGUGAAGUAGUAUAGCCACUAUGGAAAACAGUAUGGAAGUUCCUCAAAAAACUGCAAAUAGAGCUACCAUAUGAUGCAGCAAUUUGAUUGCUGGGUAUCUAUCUAAAAAAAAAGGAAAUCAGUAUAUGGAAGAGAGAUCUGCCCUCCUAUAUUGGUUGCAGCACUAUUUACAAUAGCCAAG
rnacentral:lncRNA from 10 species